rnacentral:rRNA from 1 species
GACGAACGCUGGCGGCGUGCUUAACACAUGCAAGUCGAACGGAAAGGCCCUGCUUUUGUGGGGUGCUCGAGUGGCGAACGGGUGAGUAACACGUGAGUAACCUGCCCUUGACUUUGGGAUAACUUCAGGAAACUGGGGCUAAUACCGGAUAGGAGCUCCUGCUGCAUGGUGGGGGUUGGAAAGUUUCGGCGGUUGGGGAUGGACUCGCGGCUUAUCAGCUUGUUGGUGGGGUAGUGGCUUACCAAGGCUUUGACGGGUAGCCGGCCUGAGAGGGUGACCGGCCACAUUGGGACUGAGAUACGACCCAGACUCCUACGGGAGGCAGCAGUGCGGAAUAUUGCACAAUGGGCGGAAGCCUGAUGCAGCAACGCCGCGUGCGGGAUGACGGCCUUCGGGUUGUAAACCGCUUUCGCCUGUGACGAAGCGUGAGUGACGGUAAUGGGUAAAGAAGCACCGGCUAACUACGUG